rnacentral:rRNA from 1 species
GACGGGUAGCCGGCCUGAGAGGGCGACCGGCCACACUGGGACUGAGACACGGCCCAGACUCCUACGGGAGGCAGCAGUGGGGAAUAUUGCACAAUGGGCGAAAGCCUGAUGCAGCGACGCCGCGUGAGGGAUGACGGCCUUCGGGUUGUAAACCUCUUUCAGCAGGGAAGAAGCGCAAGUGACGGUACCUGCAGAAGAAGCGCCGGCUAACUACGUGCCAGCAGCCGCGGUAAUACGUAGGGCGCAAGCGUUGUCCGGAAUUAUUGGGCGUAAAGAGCUCGUAGGCGGCUUGUCACGUCGGAUGUGAAAGCCCGGGGCUUAACCCCGGGUCUGCAUUCGAUACGGGCUAGCUAGAGUGUGGUAGGGGAGAUCGGAAUUCCUGGUGUAGCGGUGAAAUGCGCAGAUAUCAGGAGGAACACCGGUGGCGAAGGCGGAUCUCUGGGCCAUUACUGACGCUGAGGAGCGAAAGCGUGGGGAGCGAACAGGAUUAGAUACCCUGGUAGUCCACGCCGUAAACGUUGGGAACUAGGUGUUGGCGACAUUCCACGUCGUCGGUGCCGCAGCUAACGCAUUAAGUUCC